UAUUAUAUUUAAUGUUAAUUGAUUAUCAGGGUAUUAAUAGAGAGUUCUUGAAACCCAAAGAAUUUGGCGGUAUUUUAGUCUUUUCAGAGGAAUCUGUCCUGUAAUUGAUAUUACACGAUUAAUUUUACUUGAUUUUGUUAUCAGUUUAUAUAUCGCCGUCAUAAGAUUAUUUUUUUUAAGAAUAGAAUUUUCUUUUCUUUUUAAUAGAUGAUAUGUCAGGUCAAGGUGUAGCUUAUAAUUAAGUGGAGAUGGAUUACAAUAAUUUUAAUUAUUAUGAAUAAUUAUUUUAAGUUAAUUUGAAGGUGGAUUUGAUUGUAAAUUUAUUUUAAUUGGUAUAUUGAUUGGAGCUCUAGAAUGUGUACAUAUCGCCCGUCGCUCUCAUUAUUUAAGAUGAG
rnacentral:rRNA from 1 species